rnacentral:lncRNA from 1 species
CUCAGCUGCCCUCAGAGUCUGGGCUGGGGAGAGCCGGGGCCCACGAGGCGUGGCAAGGCGGGGAGAGAGAAGCUAGACCUCCCUGCUGCGCUUCUGCAGCGAAAAUGGAGAGACCCGGAAGGCGUGUGUGCGCCCGCCUCUCCCACAGGAGGGAGCGCGGAGACCCGGGAGCGGCCUAGGACCGGAGGCGCGACCCCUCGGCCCACCUUGAGGCCCGGCCUAGGACCGGAGGCGCGACCCCUGGGCCCACCUUGAGGCCCGGCCUAGGACUGGAGGCGCGACCCCUCGGCCCACCUUGCGGGAGCCGCCUAGGACCGGAGGCGCGACCCCUCGGCCCAGCUUGAGGCCCGGCCUAGGACCGGAGGCGCGACCCCUCGGCCCACCUUGCGGGAGCCGCCUAGGACCGGAGGCGCGACCCCUCGGCCCACCUUGAGGCCCGGCCUAGGACCGGAGGCGCGACCCCUGGGCCCACCUUGAGGCCCGGCCUAGGACUGGAGGCGCGACCCCUCGGCCCACCUUACGGGAGCCGCCUAGGGCCGGAGGCGCGACCCCUCGGCCCAGCUUGAGGCCCGGCCUAGGACCGGAGGCGCGACCCCUCGGCCCACCUUGAGGCCCGGCCUAGGACUGGAGGCGCGACCCCUCGGCCCACCUUGAGGCCCGGCCUAGGACCGGAGGCGCGACCCCUGGGCCCACCUUGAGGCCCGGCCUAGGACUGGAGGCGCGACCCCUCGGCCCACCUUGAGGCCCGGCCUAGGACCGGAGGCGCGACCCCUGGGCCCACCUGGCGGCCCGGCCGGCACAGCCCGCCUCUCCUCUCCAGGCCAGGGCCCCACACCUUCCGCCUGACAGCCAGCCAAGCUCUUCAGUCCCCCGCCCUCCACCUGCCAGGGAGGCUCCGGGCGUUGUACCUGCCACCACGGGACGGAGUUUUGCUCUUGUUGCCCAAGCUGGAGUGCAAUGGUGCGAUCUUCGCUUACUGCAACCUCUGCUUCCUGGGUUCAAGUGAUUCCCCUGCCUCAGCCUCCCGAGUAGCAGGGAUUACAGAUGGAGCCUCGCUCUGUCACCCAGGCUGGAGUGCAGUGGCACAAUCUCGGGUCACUGCAACCUCCGCCCCCCAGCUUCAAGCGAUUCUCCUGUCUCAGCCUCCCGAGUAGCUAGGAUUACAGGUGCACGCCACCAGGCCUGGCUAAUUUUUAUAUUUUUAGUAGAGAUGGGAUUUUGCCUUGUUGGCCAGGCUGGUCUCAAACUCCUGACCUCAGGUGACCCAUCCACCUUGGCCUCCCAAAGUGCUGGGACUACAGGUGUGAGCCACCAUGCCUGGUCCCCCACUUGUUGAUUUUGCAGAAAAGAUAGCUGUGUUACAACCUGUCCUAAGGUCAGGUAUGAAUACUUGUGCUUCUUUCUUGGCUCCCCAAGCCAGAGGGCAUUCCUAUGCCCAGGUGAGAGAGCACGGAGUGUUACUUUGGCAGCACAGUCAGUUACCAGAGGUAGGAAAAGCAAAGGCCAGGCAGGACAUGAGGGGCCCUUGCACUGGCUGGUUCUCCCUGCCUUCACCACCCUCCAGGUGAAUGACUGGGUGAAUAAUGAUUGACUGAGGAGGUAAUGAAUAAUUUAUGGACACUGCUGGACCUCAGUCUCCUCAUCUGAAAGAUGAGUGGUUGGAGAAGUUUAAUGGUUUUCAAAUGCUUUUUUUUUCAGUCUUCAAAUAAGUGUUUACGUAGAAGCACCAUAUCUGAAACAGGUGACAGUGGACCAGUCUGAAUGAAAUGAGGGUUGGCAGGCCUGAGCUCCAAAACCUUCUGAUUGCCCAAGCCCUCCUUGUCUUGCUUGGAUUAUCUCCACACAAAUGGAGAAACUGGACAAGGUGGUCAUGGAGGUCCCUGAAAGCUCAAAGACUUUCUCAUUCCAGGAUUCCCCAUGUUCAUAUGCCAGCAUGGCAUGGGGGUGCUCUGUAGUCAAGCAGGGUCCUUUGGGGGGCUUAGGGAUGGAGCCAGGAAAUGGCUCUGGGACUCAGCGGGUGUCCAGAGUCUCAUCAGCAGGGUUUCUUUACUUUCACUGAGUGGCUGGUGCCUGCACACUGAGUUUUGCAGGCUUACUCUCACAGAGUGAGCUUCCUGCAGGCCCCCCACUGCAACCCCUUUCCUUCCUGGAGCUGUGUGCUGACUGGUGCGUGAGCACCCCAGGCCCUCUCCCCAUGCUGCUGAUGGUCAGCUUUCUCUGCACGCUCGUGGUUGCCACAGUCAACGCUGAUAAAAUUGCUGAUGCAGAUUGCCUGCCCAGCUGCGAGUGCUGGCACGGGACCAGCAGCCCAGACGGUCACUGGAAGUGGUUGGGCUGAUUAUUGGCAUCAUCUCCAUUGUCCUACUCGGUUCUUAAAGGCAUAUGGACUUGCCUCACUCCUACAGCAAAUGACGGCAUGGGCAAAGAGGGGCAACAGACCCACCCUGAAGACACUCCUCAUCUGGUUGACUUGGCAGGGUUAAGGGAAAAAGAUGUGAUGACUAGGAGCUGAGAGCUUAGUGGUUCUGCCAGAGCUGCAGAGUCUUUGUUGGCCUCAGGGUGGGACCUCUCACAUCUCUGUCAGCUUUUCACGGACACCAACCUGUUAUGAUUCAUUUCACCUGUCCUGAGCACUAGCAAGAAAAAUUCGCUGUAGCUUGUGAUGUAUUAUUCUGGAUUUCUCAACUCAUUCAUUUGUUCAUUCAUUCACUAUACCAUUACUGUCUAUUAUAAGGGGGGCACAAUGGUAGGUGCUGGGAAUAAAAACGAUGUUUAACGUUU